CUUUUAACAAUUGAGUAUGUUCCUACAAACAAAAUUUGGAGCAUAUUUGUUUCUCUCUACUGAUUUCUCCAGAAUUUGGAAACUAUUUGACACAAUUGGAGAAACUGGUUAUUUUACCAAGGCUUUGACUGGAAUGAUGUGCUUUCCUUUAAGGAAUCAAGCUUGACUUAUGGAGACAAUAAAAGCCCCUUGGAAAAACUGGCCUCAUACCUUUGUCUACAUAGCUUCUGAUCUGUGGGCAUGAGACUUCACAACCUUCCAAAAAUGAGCUUUCCUAAUAACUCAGUAUGUCCUGUCUAGGAGUAAACCAUCACAGCCAUGAGAGAUCAGACGAAACCUGGGACCAGGGACUCAUUUUCUUCUAAAAUGCUUUCUCCAAAAGAUUUUAAUAAAGAAAAGGGGAAAAAUGUGAGAGGAAAGUAUCUUGGGCCCCCCAAAUCACUAAGCUAAAGGGAAAAUUCAAGCUGGGAACUGCUUAGCGCAAACCUGCUUCCCAUUCAAAGUCAUCCUUCUGCUUACUGAGAUAAAUGCAUAUCUGAUUGCCUCCUUUGAAAAGGCUAAUCAGAAACUCAAAAGAACGCAACUGUUUUUCUCUGACCUACUUGUGACCUGGAAGCCCCCUCCCCUCUUUGAGUUGCCCCACAUUUGCUUCAAGUUGUCUCACCUCUCUAGACCAAACCAAUGUUCAUUUUACAUAUGUUGAUUGACGUCUCAUGUCUUUCUAAAAUGUAUAAAACCCAGCUAUGUGUUCUGACCACCUUGAGCACAUGUUGUCCGGACCUCCUGGGACUCUGUUAUGGGUGUGUCCUCAAC